rnacentral:rRNA from 1 species
UACGGGGGGGGUAAGCGUUGUUCGGAAUUACUGGGCGUAAAGGGCUCGUAGGUGGCCAACUAAGUCAGACGUGAAAUCCCUCGGCUUAACCGGGGAACUGCGUCUGAUACUGGAUGGCUUGAGUUUGGGAGAGGGAUGCGGAAUUCCAGGUGUAGCGGUGAAAUGCGUAGAUAUCUGGAGGAACACCGGUGGCGAAGGCGGCAUCCUGGACCAAUACUGACGCUGAGGAGCGAAAGCCAGGGGAGCAAACGGG